AACGCAAAUGGCACUCUAUGGUAUUCCGUAGAGUACGUCUGUUUGAGCGUCGCGAACAUCUCCACAAUUAGUUUUUUUUUAAUUAGUUGAGGGUUUUGAGGUUGUCAUAUAAACAAUGACUCCCUUUAAAAUAAUUAGUGAUGACCUUAUGAAUGGGUUAAUACUGUGUGUUAUAAUGGAUUACAUCCAUCACCAGUCAGAGAGUAAUCUCGCCUUAGUAAUUUGUAGUGAUUGCUUCUAACUGCCAUUGGCAAACAAACUGAUCAAAUCGACCUCAAAUCAGAUGGGAUUACCCGCUGAACUUAA
rnacentral:misc_RNA from 1 species